UACGGAGGGGACUAGCGUUGUUCGGAAUUACUGGGCGUAAAGCGCACGUAGGCGGAUUUGUAAGUCAGGGGUGAAAUCCCGGGGCUCAACCUCGGAACUGCCUUUGAUACUGCAAAUCUCGAGUCCGGAAGAGGUGAGUGGAAUUCCUAGUGUAGAGGUGAAAAUUCGUAGAUAUUCGGCGGAACACCAGUGGCGAAGGCGACUCACUGGCCCGAUACUGACGCUGAGGCGCGAAAGCGUGGGGAGCAACAGGGAUUAAGAAACCC
rnacentral:rRNA from 1 species